rnacentral:pre_miRNA from 1 species
GGGGGGAGCACCAGAUCCCGGGCUGUGUCCCCCCAGCACCCUGGGCUCCGGGGCAUGCGCCUCUGGAAUCCCGCUCUCGGGCCGCGCAGCCCCCU